rnacentral:rRNA from 1 species
UACGUAGGGGGCAAGCGUUGUCCGGAUUUAUUGGGCGUAAAGAGCUCGUAGGCGGUGUGUCGCGUCGGCCGUGAAAACCUGGGGCUUAACUCUGGGCGUGCGGUCGAUACGGGCAUCACUAGAGUUCGGCAGGGGAGACUGGAAUUCCUGGUGUAGCGGUGAAAUGCGCAGAUAUCAGGAGGAACACCGGUGGCGAAGGCGGGUCUCUGGGCCGAUACUGACGCUGAGGAGCGAAAGCAUGGGUAGCGAACAGG